GAUGAACGCUGGCGGCGUGCCUAAUACAUGCAAGUCGAGCGAACAGACGAGGAGCUUGCUCCUUUGACGUUAGCGGCGGACGGGUGAGUAACACGUGGGUAACCUACCUAUAAGACUGGGAUAACUUCGGGAAACCGGAGCUAAUACCGGAUAAUAUUUCGAACCGCAUGGUUCGAUAGUGAAAGAUGGCUUUGCUAUCACUUAUAGAUGGACCUGCGCCGUAUUAGCUAGUUGGUAAGGUAACGGCUUUCCAAGGCAACGAUACGUAGCCGACCUGAGAGGGUGAUCGGCCACACUGGAACUGAGACACGGUCCAGACUCCUACGGGAGGCAGCAGUAGGGAAUCUUCCGCAAUGGGCGAAAGCCUGACGGAGCAACGCCGCGUGAGUGAUGAAGGUCUUCGGAUCGUAAAACUCUGUUAUUAGGGAAGAAUAAACGUGUAAGUAACUGUGCACGUCUUGACGGUACCUAAUCAGAAAGCCACGGCUAACUACGUG
rnacentral:rRNA from 1 species